GGUUAAGUGACUAAGCGUACACGGUGGAUGCCUUGGCAGUCAGAGGCGAUGAAGGACGUAUUAACUUGCGAUAAGCCCAGAUUAGGUAGUAAAAACCAUUUGAGUCUGGGAUUUCCGAAUGGGGAAACCCACUAGCAUAAGCUAGUAUCGCUGCGUGAAUACAUAGCGCAGCGAGGCGAACCGGGGGAACUGAAACAUCUAAGUACCCCGAGGAAAAGAAAUCAACCGAGAUUCCGAAAGUAGCGGCGAGCGAAAUUGGACUAGCCCUUAAGCUUUUUAUGCGUCAGGUGAAACUUCUGGAAAGUUGUGCGAUACAGGGUGAUAGCCCCGUAACCGGCAACGCAUAUAAAGUGAAAUCGAGUAGGGCGGGACACGUGAUAUCCUGUCUGAAUAUGGGGGGACCAUCCUCCAAGGCUAAAUACUACUGACUGACCGAUAGUGAACCAGUACCGUGAGGGAAAGGCGAAAAGAACCCCUGUGAGGGGAGUGAAAUAGAACCUGAAACCGUGUACGUACAAGCAGUAGGAGCACCUUCGUGGUGUGACUGCGUACCUUUUGUAUAAUGGGUCAGCGACUUAUAUUCAGUGGCAAGGUUAACCAUCUAGGGGAGCCGUAGGGAAACCGAGUCUUAACUGGGCGUUCAGUCUCUGGAUAUAGACCCGAAACCAGGUGAUCUAGCCAUGGGCAGGUUGAAGGUUGAGUAACAUCAACUGGAGGACCGAACCGACUAAUGUUGAAAAAUUAGCGGAUGACUUGUGGCUAGGGGUGAAAGGCCAAUCAAACCUGGAGAUAGCUGGUUCUCCCCGAAAGCUAUUUAGGUAGCGCCUCGGACGAAUACUACUGGGGGUAGAGCACUGUUAAGGCUAGGGGGUCAUCCCGACUUACCAACCCUUUGCAAACUCCGAAUACCAGUAAGUACUAUCCGGGAGACACACGGCGGGUGCUAACGUCCGUCGUGGAGAGGGAAACAACCCAGACCGCCAGCUAAGGUCCCAAAUUACUACUAAGUGGGAAACGAUGUGGGAAGGCUCAGACAGCCAGGAUGUUGGCUUAGAAGCAGCCAUCAUUUAAAGAAAGCGUAAUAGCUCACUGGUCGAGUCGGCCUGCGCGGAAGAUGUAACGGGGCUAAGUAGUAAACCGAAGCUGCGGCAAUGCACUUUAGUGCAUUGGGUAGGGGAGCGUUCUGUAAGCGGUUGAAGGUGUGUGGUAACGCAUGCUGGACGUAUCAGAAGUGCGAAUGCUGACAUGAGUAACGAUAAAGGGGGUGAAAAACCUCCUCGCCGGAAGACCAAGGGUUCCUGUCCAACGUUAAUCGGGGCAGGGUAAGUCGACCCCUAAGGCGAGGCCGAAAGGCGUAGUCGAUGGGAAACGGGUUAAUAUUCCCGUACUUCUUACAAUUGCGAUGGGGGGACGGAGAAGGCUAGGUGGGCCUGGCGACGGUUGUCCAGGUUCAAGUGCGUAGGCUGAAAAGUUAGGUAAAUCCGGCUCUUCUUAAGGCUGAGACACGACGUCGAGCUACUACGGUAGUGAAGUCAUUGAUGCCAUGCUUCCAGGAAAAGCCUCUAAGCUUCAGAUUGUAAGGAAUCGUACCCCAAACCGACACAGGUGGUCGGGUAGAGAAUACCAAGGCGCUUGAGAGAACUCGGGUGAAGGAACUAGGCAAAAUGGUACCGUAACUUCGGGAGAAGGUACGCUCUCGACGGUGAAGUCCCUCGCGGAUGGAGCUAUUGAGAGUCGCAGAUACCAGGUGGCUGCAACUGUUUAUUAAAAACACAGCACUGUGCAAAAUCGUAAGAUGACGUAUACGGUGUGACGCCUGCCCGGUGCCGGAAGGUUAAUUGAUGGGGUUAGACUUCGGUCGAAGCUCUUGAUCGAAGCCCCGGUAAACGGCGGCCGUAACUAUAACGGUCCUAAGGUAGCGAAAUUCCUUGUCGGGUAAGUUCCGACCUGCACGAAUGGCGUAAUGAUGGCCACGCUGUCUCCACCCGAGACUCAGUGAAAUUGAAAUCGCUGUGAAGAUGCAGUGUACCCGCGGCUAGACGGAAAGACCCCGUGAACCUUUACUACAGCUUGGCACUGAACAUUGACCCUACAUGUGUAGGAUAGGUGGGAGGCUUUGAAACUAGUACGCCAGUAUUAGUGGAGCCGUCCUUGAAAUACCACCCUUGUAGUGUUGAUGUUCUAACGUUGACCCCUUAUCGGGGUUGCGGACAGUGCCUGGUGGGUAGUUUGACUGGGGCGGUCUCCUCCCAAAGCGUAACGGAGGAGCACGAAGGUGGGCUAAUCACGGUUGGACAUCGUGAGGUUAGUGCAAUGGCAUAAGCCCGCUUGACUGCGAGAAUGACAAUUCGAGCAGGUGCGAAAGCAGGUCAUAGUGAUCCGGUGGUUCUGAAUGGAAGGGCCAUCGCUCAACGGAUAAAAGGUACUCCGGGGAUAACAGGCUGAUACCGCCCAAGAGUUCAUAUCGACGGCGGUGUUUGGCACCUCGAUGUCGGCUCAUCACAUCCUGGGGCUGAAGUCGGUCCCAAGGGUAUGGCUGUUCGCCAUUUAAAGUGGUACGCGAGCUGGGUUUAGAACGUCGUGAGACAGUUCGGUCCCUAUCUGCCGUGGGCGUUGGAAGAUUGAAGGGGGCUGCUCCUAGUACGAGAGGACCGGAGUGGACGAACCUCUGGUGUUCGGGUUGUGUCGCCAGACGCAUUGCCCGGUAGCUAAGUUCGGAAUCGAUAACCGCUGAAAGCAUCUAAGCGGGAAGCGAGCCCUGAGAUGAGUCUUCCCUGAUACUUUAAGUAUCCUAAAGGGUUGUUCGAGACUAGAACGUUGAUAGGCAGGGUGUGUAAGCGUUGUGAGGCGUUGAGCUAACCUGUACUAAUUGCCCGUGAGGCUUAACCAU
rnacentral:rRNA from 1 species